UACAGAGGUCUCGAGCGUUAUGCGGAAUCACUGGGCGUAAAGCGUGCGCAGGCGGCUGUGCAAGACCGACGUGAAAUCCCCGGGCUUAACCUGGGAAUGGCAUUGGUGACUGCACGGCUAGAGUGUGUCAGAGGGGGGUAGAAUUCCACGUGUAGCAGUGAAAUGCGUAGAGAUGUGGAGGAAUACCGAUGGCGAAGGCAGCCCCCUGGGAUAACACUGACGCUCAUGCACGAAAGCGUGGGGAGCAAACAGG
rnacentral:rRNA from 1 species